UUUGAAUAACCCAAUGAGCCUAAAACAAUCAAGCCCUUAGAUACCACAAUUUUCGAAUUCGAACAACCGUUAAAAGGACGAAUAAAGACGAAGUAAGAUUCAACCGAUCCGAUAUUGUAAGGAAGAAGAAGAAGAAGAUUAUGAAUAUGAAACUGAAUUACCAAAUUCUUCCGACGCCGCGACGCUAUUGCGAAAUUCUUGUCGUUGUAGUCGAUUUCUUUCAACAAAUCAAAUCAACUGACAGAUGUUCCGGCGGUGAAUACAGCCCGAACCAUAUUCGCCUCGUAACCGUCACCGAAUCUAUGUUUCUCUUUUGUUUUAUUCACUAUAAUGCACCUGUGUAGUCCACUACAAUUUCCUCUACUAUAUAGCUUUUCGUGGAUCAUUAUUGUUCAAUAGCGCGGCAUCGGUAAUGGCGGGAAAUGAUUCGGUGAACAGUUACUUGGAGGCCAUACUUGACGUUGGGCCUCCGAUGCAAAGCGUUGCUUCUGCUGAGGGAGAGAGGGCAUUUCAGUCCUACUCGAAGGAGGUUAUUGCUGGUUUCGGUGAGACCGAUCUCCAUCGCUCUUGGAUUCGAGCUGCGGCUAUGCGGAGUCCGCAGGAGAGGAACACGAGGCUGGAGGAUUUGGAUUUUGGCCCGAAAGAAGAAGCAGGAAAUUAAUGAACAGAGUUUCUAAACCUCGUGGAUUCUUCGAAAUUAGGACAUGUUGGAGAAUUGGUUCCAGAAUAUUGCUGUGAGUCAAUCAGAAACUUAGAUGUUCGCUAGGAUACGGAAUGCAGUAUCUCACCAUUGGAGAAAGACAGAGUCAAUGUCUGAUAGCAAUGAAGUUGUGAGAGAGUCGCUCGAGCUGAGACUUGAGCAUGUCGCUGAAGGAGAAACGAGACCUGGUAAUUUGAGGCGUUGAUGGAGGGCUCGUCUCAUUCUUGACUCGAAGUACAACAGGGCCAAUUUCUUUCUUCACCGACUCUACCAUCUCCAUAUCUACUUCUUUGCCUGAAAUGUCUUUGACAUAAAAUGCAUUAAUGGCUUUCUCUCCUUGUGUUGCUAUGUCUGCUCUCACCACAUUCAGCCCAUUUUCCCGCAGAACCCUUGUUAUGUCUGAUAGCAAUCCCACCCUGUUGUUUGCACAUAACUCCAGCCUCACUCCCUGACCAAAUAAUAUUGUAUUAAAAAAGACAUCAAUAUCAAUACAUUUGCAGCUUCUUCCUGAUGGUGGUGUAGAGAUUAAAGUUCCAUCUCUGUCCUCUGACUGUAUUAUAGGGAAUUGAUUUCAGUUUUUGUUUAGGGGGAUUUACCUCGCAAACACGACGUUCAAUGGCUGCCUCUAAGCAUUUUACCACCCUGUGCUUGUCAUAGUCUGAAUUCAAGGCGUACCCAUUCACAUGUCUGAUAAAGUACUCCUGCAUCAAAAGUUCAUGCCAUUUCCAAUAGCGAUAGGGUAUGAGUCCAACUGGCAAUUGGUGGAGCAGUCGCCGCCCUGAGAACAGUGGAAAGAUGCUCCUCAAUGUUGGCAAGCCGGUGGGGGUCCUCAAUAGGACUAUCUGUAGAUUGGUCCGAAAUGUAAGCAAUGCAGGCCAAACGAGCAUUAUGGCUCCAAGCAUGAGCUUCCACAACGUUGCAAUGGAGGUCAGCCAAUGCAGCAGAUAUCUCAGAGAAGAGACCGGGCCGGUCGGUACCGGUCAUUUCAAUUGCCGUAUGUUCGCCGGAGUUAUCAGCAUUCAGAAAUUUGUUAACAUAGCGUCUGGUUUUGGACGAGUUAUCAGGUCCUUUGGUUGUUCCAAUGGCCUGCACGUCGAUGGAAAGCAGCAAAAUCAAGUCGAUGUUAAAAAGAAGAAAAAAUACAAAGAGACAAAAAGAAGAGUGGACGUUUUACGAGCCUGUUGGAUCGAGUUGAUGACUUUCUGGUCGGUAAGUUUAUGGCUAUUCUCAUCUUUUACAUGAAAAACUGCAGUAAAAAAAGUUGUCCCAAAUUCAGGAAGAAAUGGGAAAGAAGAAAAGUAUUCAUAAUUGGAGAAAAAGAGAAAAAAAUGAGAAGGGUACCAUCCAUGAACCAGCCUGCAUCACAAGAAAUGUAGCUUUUUGAGAUUGAAAGGUUCAAAUCUGUUAAAAUUUGAACCACUUCAAGGAGGAGACCUUGUUUGUUCAAGCUAUCAACCUGCACCAAAAAUAAAGCCCAUCCAUUCAUCUCAUCAGUUAGUAGCCAAUGGAAAAACAAACCCACAAAUUAAUUAUUACCUUGACAAUGGUGCAAUCCUCCAUGCUUUCAUUGUCAAUGCAGACCCUGCAACUACAAGAAGAAGAAGAAGAAGAAGAAGAAGAAAUAAGCAAUAUUAAGGAUUGAUUGAGCUGUUGGAAUUUGGAUAAGUUAAAUACUUACGUUGGGCCAUUUAUCCUCUCAGGAAGAGUAUCAAAAUCAGGAUCAAAGUAUGGCCAACAAACAUUCUUCAUGCUGCAAAAUUGUUGUUAGUUUUUUUUUCACAGAAGAGAAAAGAAAGACAAACAAAGAGAGAGAGAUGGAAAAGAUGAGAAGAACGGGAAAUGCAAGUGCCAACCAUGGAAAUGGGCCUAAAGAAAGCUAUAAUUAGAAGGCAAUGCAUGAAUUGAGGGAUGAAUUUUUGCUUUAUAUGCAAAAAUAGAUAAAAAGGAAAGAAGAAAUUAGAGAGGAAAAUAGGAAGAAAAAGAAAAGAAAAAGGGAAAAGAAAAGUCAUACAGAGGUAAAGUAGGAGAAGAUGUGGGAGUAGGCCAUGGCCAGCUUACAUCCAUAAUCAGACCUUAAUUUUAAUUAAGGUUGAGAUUAAAAGAAAAGAAUCUAAGAUCCUUUCCUUUUAACCUCUAAUUAAUCACACACAAAAACACAAAAGCCCUUUAUAUAAAAUUUUGAAAAGAAUUAAAUCUUAAAUUUUUUGUUAGAACUGAAAGGGAACAGAAGUGGUUUGUCUUAACUCAUUAGGAAACAUAGCAAAAGUGUUUGUGUGUUUGUGUCUCUGAUAGGACACGUUUUCUGUUUUCUGUUUUUCUGUUUUUUUGGUUUGUUUUCUCUCUCUCUUUCUCAACUUUGCCCAUGUGUUUUUUUUCUUCUUUUACCUUUCUCUCUCCACCUUCUGUUUUCUUGGCUUUCCUUAAAUCUCUCUCCAUUCUUUUCUUAUUGUGGCAAUGAGCAUUUUAUGGUAUGUUGUCACUCGUCAGUCAAAUCAUAGUUAUCCUUUGUCCAUAUCUUUGUUUCUUAUUGUUUAAACUAAAACUUUAGCCUUCAUUUUUUUAAAUAUAUUGAAUUAGGGAAGAAUUGAAAGAAAGAAAGGAAAAAAAAAAAAAAAAAAAGAAAGAAAGAA